CUGUCAUAAGAGCAAACAAAAUGCUAAGCUUUGCUUCCUAUCACUUCAGUUAGCCUGUGAUGUAAGUUGCGAGUCUUGCCUGCACCCUUUUUUUCCCCACAAAGGCAUUGACUAAUUCUCGGGCAGCACAGUGCAGAUGGAGACACUUCAGUGGACAUGUCUCCUGGGGCUCUUGUCCGUCCGAGCAGCACCUUCCUGGUCAGAUCCCAACGAGAACUGCAGCAGAAACAGCACCAUGGAAGGCAUCUUCUUCAUCCUGAGCCUGCCAGUGUUAGUAAUCGUAGUCAGCGUCAUCAUCGGAGCGGCAGUUUCGUACUGUACCAGGACUAAAGUGUACAGACCGGCAAAGGUACACCAGCACAGGCAACUGCUGUGUCCCCACCACAGUGACCAGCAGAGCCACAGCAGAAAAUUGAGAACAGAGAACCAGAACUGCACUUAGGAGGAAGCAGGAACAGCUAAAAACUCCUAUCUUCACUUCAAUGUCUCAAACAUGUGACUUUCUGUUCUCUUUCUUUUUUUUCUUUUUUUUUUUAACUAAAGUUAGUCUCUCCGUGUGCGCGCGUAUCUUAGCACAGGAAAAGGGGAUGGGGGGGCGGAUGUGAUGUCAGCUGUCUUUUGAUGUUUGAAAAGCAAAGUGCACAUUUAUUAGAAGCUAUGUACAUGCAUUACCUCAUAUGUGUUCUACUUUCAGUUAUCACAUGUAAAAAAUAAACACAGGUG
rnacentral:lncRNA from 1 species